rnacentral:rRNA from 1 species
GACGAACGCUGGCGGCGUGCUUAACACAUGCAAGUCGAACGAAGUGGCGAACGGGUGAGUAACGCGUAAUCAACCUGCCCUUCAGAGGGGUACAACAGUUGGAAACGACUGCUAAUACCGCAUACUGAAGUAGGGGAUUGCGUCUGAUUAGCUAGUUGGGGGGGUAACGGCCCACCAAGGCGAUGAUCAGUAGCCGGGUUGGGAGGAUGAACGGCCACAUUGGGACUGGGAAACGGGCCAGACUUCUAAGGGAGGCAGCAGUGGGGAAUCUUCCGCAAUGGACGAAAGUCUGACGGAGCAACGCCGCGUGAGUGAUGACGGCCUUCGGGUUGUAAAGCUCUGUUAAGCGGGACGCGGUACCGGAAUAGAAAGCCACGGCUAACUACGUGCCAGCAGCCGCGGUAAUAC